rnacentral:misc_RNA from 1 species
AAAAAUUACUACAAAUUACAACCGUGAUACAUAUUCAUAAUCUUUCUUCAUGUACAAGUAUCUCAGCCCACACCAAAACAUGGUGAAACAAUUGGCUGGAAAAUAGGGGGAAGAAUAUAUUUCUAUAAAGACCAGGGAAACCAUAGACAAACAAAGGCCAUGACACACAAAUCCUGAGAUAGGAUUUCUAAUGCACCAAUGCUGUAGGGAAAGGUAGUUUAUGCUGUACAAAGUCUCAUUGUUACCAUCUUCGAGGAAAAGACACGGAAGGAAAAGGAAACAAUAGAGUCUCACCUAACCCUACAAGAUUCUAUAACUUCAAGCACUGUUGAAUGAGUCUCUGGCGAUAUCAUGUUCAGUGUCAUGUGGAAUUCCACAAAUCUCUCCAGCACAGGUACAAGAAUGGACAAUUUAUGAUCUGGUAAGUAACCAGCGAUUGCCUGCCGUAUGCUCUUGCUCUCAGUUGAAAGGAAGGCAAGAAGGAGAGCUGAAUAUGCUUCAAUAAUCAUUUUUUCAGCUUCUUUCUCCCCCUGUAGUACAGCAUCUUCAUCAUCCCAUUGCAAACAUUUUCCUUCCCCAGCAGCCUCUCCAGCCCCUUGAUUUUCCAGAAAGAUUGCACAUAGCAGAGGGAUAACAUCUGUCUGAGUCUCCCCCUUAAACAAACCUUCUGAUCCAGGCAAUGAAAUACUAGCAGCUGCAAGUCUAGACCUGUUGCAGCCAUCCUUCUCUACCAAAUUGACCAGCAAACCCAAAAUAGCAACAAGAAAAUCUAGCUCUUGAUCAUUGAGAUGGCCAUCACUAUCAGAUCCAACGCUUGAUUUUGAUAACCCAUUACGAUCCAAAUGCAAGCUGAAGGACGGAAAAUGGCUGGCGAUCAAAGCAGAUAAAGCUUCUAGUCCACCACCGGCAGCAAUUUGCUGACAGCCAACAGGGUUGUCAUUCGUCAAGUUCAUCAGAACCUUAACAGCUGUGAGAAGGCAAUCUGCCAGAAGGGUCGACAUUUCGU